GCGAAAUUGACUCGUCCGUCGCUCUUCGAUUGCGAAACUUUCUGUUUUUGGGCGCUGGUAAUCAUGUUUUCUGAAAGCGCGGCUGUCUUUUCUCAAAGUCGAUCAUGUGUAAAUUUCUCAUAACCUUGUUCCAGCUUCGGUCACUGUACGCAUAUAUUUCGCGAGUCACCCACCCACUGUGGUAUUCUAUUAUUCAGUCACGUGUACGGGUUUUUGCGUCAACUGUAUUUUGUCUCGAAGGUUGGGUUGUUACAUGUCUCACAGAUAUUCCUAUCAUCUACGAAGCGCGUCAUAUAACAAAUAUUUACAUACUUUCAGUGUAGUUCCGUUGACUAAUUGCCCAGCGUUUACUUCGAGCGUUUGAAUGAAUGGCUGUGGGCAAAUUAUAUGCUGAGACAAUAGAUAAGUAAUUUACACGAAUUCCGUUAAACAGACUACAUCCGCCAAUACCGUCAAAGGGCUGGUCGAACAAUAGGAUUGUGCCAUACGGUACUGCUCCGUGGUAACGUCGAUUCAAAUAUUCCGAAAAUUCAAAGACGCUAACAUGCAUGACUCGGUCAGAGUUAGUAAGCCCCUGUUACGUUAUGGGAAUAUAUAUAUUGGAUAUAUUAUGUGUACUGUUACAGUUUUGGACUUAACAUGCUACUUCCAUGGGAAAGAAGAUCAUUCAAUAUUGUUCUACUAUUAGUCUUGACAAUGUCAGCAUACACAACGUACUGGUAUCUACCAAGUCUUCUACGAUCGAUGGGAGGAUAUUUUGUGACUAUUCUGCAGAUUCAAUAACAGUUAUAAUUGCCGUCUAGUGUGAAAGUCAUUUUUUGUUAUUGAAUCACUGGAUGGUUUGACAUCGCUUAUAUAUAUAUCAUAUUUAUUGGUCAUUGUCGAUGCCGACACGGACUCAAUAUGUAGAAAAUAUUUUAUUAUAUUGAUAUCGUACUCCAGCUUAUCGGCUUUAAGUUUAUAGCCUCUCCUCAGUGUUUUCAACUCAGGUUUGAAAAAAUAUAUAUCACCUGCCUCGCGAAAUAUUUUAUGGAAGGGGGUAACUAGUAAUGUUACCUCACACUAGGAUAUCACAUUAUGAAUCUACGACGUUAGUGGGAUUGUUAUAUACUAUUGUGAAGUAUAAGUAUAAGGUACCGAUACCUUUCAGCGUUAUUAUCUUUUUCAAAGCCAGCAAACACGGUUCAUAUUAAAUAUGCAUCUUCGUUUUUUAACUUCCAUCAGCAGCAUAUUUUUUCAAAAAAUAGCUUAGAUUUGACAGAAUGACUGACUGAUUCACUAUCCCACCAAUGAAGUUAGCAUUUCCGCAACUGAAUCUGUGGGUAUUGCUGAUUCUAUUUAUAAUGAACUGUCCUACCAAAUGCUGUGCAAUUAGUAGCAUUUGUUGAAAGUUAAAUACCGUGUUUCCCCGAAAAUAGGACCUACCCUGAAAAUAUAUUCAUAUUUUGUAUAUUAGAAAAUCUCGUAAUUCUCUACUUUGUAAUUUUGUUUUGAUAAAUGAAAAUAUAAGACAUCCCCCGAAAAUAAGCCCUAGUGUUAUUUUUCGGAAGGAAACUGAAAUAAGACCCGGUCUUAUUUUCGGGAAAACACGGUAGUCGUCAGGAAAACGUUUUGAACUGGAAAACACUGUUAAAUUCGACCAUAUUUUUCAUGUUUAUUUUUAUAUUGUUUGUUUUUAAAAUCUUUUUAACAGUAUGCCAUAAUGACGAUGAAACGAACGACAUAUUUUGUACUGUGAUUUCAGAAACAUUUAAACUGAAAUUAGUGCAUUUAACAUUUAUAUUUAUGAAGAAACCUCUUAGUUGGAGCGUCAUUUUCUACUGCUGUAUAAAAUUGGGACGAGCUAUGAUUCACUGUAACGUGAUCCAAGAUUGCUACUGAAUGAUUUUAUGAAAUAAGAUCGCUAUGAUUAACUAAAGGGUUUCCAACGAUAUAUUGUUGUGGUAUUCACGUGGGUGUAUAUUUUUGUCGAAUAAAAAGCAUAGUCUAUUCCUA